rnacentral:rRNA from 1 species
UACGUAGGGUGCAAGCGUUAAUCGGAAUUACUGGGCGUAAAGCGUGCGCAGGCGGUUAUGUAAGACAGGUGUGAAAUCCCCGGGCUUAACCUGGGAAUUGCAUUUGUGACUGCAUGGCUAGAGUGUGUCGAGAGGGGGGUAGAAUUCCACGUGUAGCAGUGAAAUGCGUAGAGAUGUGGAGGAAUACCGAUGGCGAAGGCAGCCUCCUGGGCCAGCACUGACGCUCAUGCACGAAAGCGUGGGGAGCAAACAGG